GUGUGCGGGUAUUUAUACGUAUGUAUAUUGUUUGGAGAAAAAUGUGUCAAGCGAAUGCUGAAUUAAUUGGAACCCCGCAGGACAGCCUCUUGUUUCCAACUUCUUCUACCUCUCUGCACGCUCAAGUGAAUGAAUACAAUACCUACAGAUAUAUUCUUUUCCUGCGGCGCAGCUGCCGUGUUCGCCAAACGUUCGCAACUCUUCUUUCAUCUCGCAACAAAAUCUCCGAUGUUCGAGUGUAAAUCACCACAGAGGCGUUUGUCCGUAACAGUACUUCAGCGGGCUGAGAUUUCGCAAUGGCACAGACAGAUCAUUGUGUACCGAAUCCUUCCCUAGUUCGCGCGUAAUCUAUUUCUAAAAUCUGAACUCGAGGAGACGAUAAUACAGGUAUGUAAUCUUGAAUUUACGCGUUUCAGCGAGUACAUUUGUAGUAAAGACAUGCAACGCGUGCAAACUGCAACCGGUAUGCUAUGCAAGGUCUUGAAUUAGGUACGCGAGGUAUAAGAUUCCCGUAUCGAAAGGCUAAUGAUCUUGAGAUUUCUUCGAUCUUGCCUCCUGCGUAGUACGUAUAGCGCAUUCAGCGUGUACGAUGAUGCAGGCAAAAGGAUGUGCCGCUAGAGAUUGGUCAGCUGUUGGCUCUCGCAAGCUCACGUCACUCCUCAAUUUCCGCAUUAAAGUUGCAGAGUAAAACCGGUGUGUAAAAGGAUGUAAAGAGAAGAAAAAAAAAAGAGAGAAAAAAAAAAACGUUGCUACUUUUACGUCGUCCGAAGCGGUACUUUCAAAGCUCUGUAUA